GAUGAACGCUGGCGGCGUGCCUAAUACAUGCAAGUCGAGCGAACAGACGAGGAGCUUGCUCCUCUGACGUUAGCGGCGGACGGGUGAGUAACACGUGGAUAACCUACCUAUAAGACUGGGAUAACUUCGGGAAACCGGAGCUAAUCCCGGAUAAUAUAUUGAACCGCAUGGUUCAAUAGUGAAAGACGGUUUUGCUGUCACUUAUAGAUGGAUCCGCGCCGCAUUAGCUAGUUGGUAAGGUAACGGCUUACCAAGGCAACGAUGCGUAGCCGACCUGAGAGGGUGAUAGGCCACACUGGAACUGAGACACGGUCCAGACUCCUACGGGAGGCAGCAGUAGGGAAUCUUCCGCAAUGGGCGAAAGCCUGACGGAGCAACGCCGCGUGAGUGAUGAAGGUCUUCGGAUCGUAAAACUCUGUUAUUAGGGAAGAACAAAUGUGUAAGUAACUAUGCACGUCUUGACGGUACCGAAUCAGAAAGCCACGGCUAACUACGUG
rnacentral:rRNA from 1 species